rnacentral:lncRNA from 12 species
UCUGUGUUGCAACCUCAUUUCCAUUUCUUUCUCUUGUACAGGCUGGAGCUGUGUGGUCUCUGGGCCUGGUUCAUCAUUUUGUCAUCUCUGAGACUACCAGAGGGCCUGUUCCCAGCAAUCAGUGUGAUCUGUGUCCUGGGAUCAGAGUUGAAUUUAGCCUUGUUACAUAAGCCACAAUGAGGCCAAGGACAAGCAUUGAAACAGAAGACAGAUAUGUAGCAAAGGAAGACUUCAGGGUACUGGCUUCUGAACACAGUAUUCUAAGGGAAUGUGAUUAGUUGGUGAUACUAGAAGGAACGAACGAUACUUGGAAGAACUGUGUGUAACUUCUGACAACAAAAGGCUCAACUGGCAACAUGUGGCUAACAGCUCACAGACAUCUGGGUUCCUGGCCUGAGAGGAUAAGACAACCAUUAAGUGCUGGAGUUGCAUUGGCCAAAGCAUAUGCGACUAACAUGACACAAAGCAUCUCAACAGAACAUUAAUACAGACUUGGUGCUAACAAGUAUAGAAUGGAAGGAGCUCAUGGUGAUAUAAAU